AGAGUUUGAUCCUGGCUCAGGAUGAACGCUGACAGAAUGCUUAACACAUGCAAGUCAACUUGAACUUCGGUUUGGGUGGCGGACGGGUGAGUAACGCGUAAAGAACUUGCCUCACAGAUAGGGACAACAUUUGGAAACGAAUGCUAAUACCUGAUAUUAUGAUUUUAGGGCAUCCUAGGAUUAUGAAAGCUAUAUGCGCUGUGAGAGAGCUUUGCGUCCCAUUAGCUAGUUGGAGAGGUAACGGCUCACCAAGGCGAUGAUGGGUAGCCGGCCUGAGAGGGUGAUCGGCCACAAGGGGACUGAGACACGGCCCUUACUCCUACGGGAGGCAGCAGUGGGGAAUAUUGGACAAUGGACCAAGAGUCUGAUCCAGCAAUUCUGUGUGCACGAUGAAGUUUUUCGGAAUGUAAAGUGCUUUCAGUUGGGAAGAAAAAAAUGACGGUACCAACAGAAGAAGUGACGGCUAAAUACGUGCCAGCAGCCGCGGUAAUACGUAUGUCACAAGCGUUAUCCGGAUUUAUUGGGCGUAAAGCGCGUCUAGGUGGUUAUGUAAGUCUGAUGUGAAAAUGCAGGGCUCAACUCUGUAUUGCGUUGGAAACUGUGUAACUAGAGUACUGGAGAGGUAAGCGGAACUACAAGUGUAGAGGUGAAAUUCGUAGAUAUUUGUAGGAAUGCCGAUGGGGAAGCCAGCUUACUGGACAGAUACUGACGCUGAAGCGCGAAAGCGUGGGUAGCAAACAGGAUUAGAUACCCUGGUAGUCCACGCCGUAAACGAUGAGUGCUAAGUGUUGGAGGGUUUCCGCCCUUCAGUGCUGCAGUUAACGCAUUAAGCACUCCGCCUGGGGAGUACGACCGCAAGGUUGAAACUCAAAGGAAUUGACGGGGACCCGCACAAGCGGUGGAGCAUGUGGUUUAAUUCGA
rnacentral:rRNA from 1 species